AAACGAAGCAAAUAAGAAGUAAAAGCAUGUUUCGGAUGCAAGGAGCGAAUAGUAAUUGGGAUAAUUGCGUCGCCAUAGAAUAUCGGUAAUAAAAGCAAGGUGUUGAAACGGGUCACUCGGUUGACUCGAGCCAGGUGAAUGUCGAGAGUCCCGGAUGAAGAUCGAGCAUCGAGCAAGAACCGAACAUACAUUAAACAAAGCUUCCGCAACGUUGUUUUG